rfam:Triticum aestivum genome assembly, contig: Triticum_aestivum_CS42_TGACv1_scaffold_593674_7BS
AUAUUACUCCCUCCGUCCGGAAUUACUUAUCAUCAAAAUGGAUGUGCCUAGACUAAAAUACAUCUAGAUACAUCCAUUUCAAUGACAAGUAUUUUCGGACGGAGGGAGUAGUAG